UUAAAGUUCCAUGUUGUAUUUUGUGGCUUUGAAACUAUAUAAUACAUCCUACCCUUGUAAUUUCCUAAUGGUACUCUCAAGUAUCCCAUAUUUGGAGAAAAGAUAUUUCAUAUUUGCAGUUGGUGUUGUUCCACAGCCUGUUGUAUCCUUCUAUUCCAUGGAGUGUUUUCAUAGAAUUGUCUUGGACGACAUACUGCAUUUACAAAACCUAUUUCUUCGUUCCAGGGAAACUGUUUGAUAUGCAAGCUAUCUGAAAAGACGUUUUCAUUAUGUCUGACCAAAACAAAGAACAAUUGCCUCCCAUAUUUAUUGAUAUUUUUGAGAUAUUAUUAGAAGACUUACCAGAAGAUGACAAGGAAAAUACUGAUAUAGAAGAGGAAGAAGAAGAUGCUGCUAUUGAAGUUGCAUUUGACAGAAUUUUUGAUCAAGAAAUAGAUGCAGCAGUGUGUGAAGCAGCAGAGGAAGAUGCUGGAAAUUCCACUGAAAAUGUUGAUGUAGAACCAUUACCAACCACCUCAGCAGCCUCCCCUAUUCUUGAUAUUGAUAGGAAAUGGAGAGAUUUGGAGACAAAAAUUCCACAUUACAGCAUGAAUGAAGGGUUUGUACAUUAUUGAUAUCAUCAAGAAACAAUCAGAGUAUCUGUCCUUUCUUUAGCUAUUGUUCCAUUAUUUCUUUUCAUAGUGUGUGAACUUUUUAUUUGUGUGCUAACAAUCUCAUUUCUUUCCACAGGGCUUACAGAAGUGUUUGCCUAAUGCGAAACAGAAACAGAAGUGGUGAUAACUGUGAUAGAACCUGUAAUUGUUGUUUCAGAGUAAUCUGUAUGGGACACAGAAAGGUAAAACUCUGAAUCUUAAAAAACAUGAGCUAUUAGCAUUUCUGGGCAUAAACUUCCUCAUGGGUUACCAUAAACUUCCUUCUUGGUCAACAAGUGAAGAUUUGGGAAUCCCAUUGAUAAGAAAAGCACUGAGCCAUGAUAGAUUUGACAGCAUACUAAUGCAUUUACAUGUGAAUGAUAAUUCACAAAUGACUGGAAAAAAAACAGACAAGCUUUACAAAAUUAGGCCAUUGGUAACUGCAUUGAAUGACAAUUUUCCAAACAUUUACAAAGGGACAAGGGAACUUAGCAUUGAUGAAUCAGUGAAUUUAUUCAAGGGGAGGAGUAGCAUCAAACAAUAUAACCCCAUGAAACCUAUAAAGAGGGGUUAUAAACUGUGGUGCAUUGGAGACCAAAGGGGGUACAUUCUAAAAUUAGAUAUAUAUCAGGGGAUAAACGAGUCUCUGGAACAAGAGUUCAGGCUACGAAACCGUGGCAAUCAUUUUGUGAUUUUUGUAAAAAUCCGUGGUUGAUGUGAAGUGUGCUCCAAGAAGAAGAUACAAUCAAGACCACAUUCAAAGUGCACUACAUGCAGUGUAUUUCUUUGCUGCCAUGAGAAGAAAAACUGUUUUGCAGAGUAUCAUGCUGUAUCUGUUGAGUAAAAUGUGACAGGCAAUGUGUUUGUAAAAAUUGGCAAAAUGUGAUUUUUAUGUUUGUGUAUAUUGUAUGUGUAACAUGGCUACUUGAUUUAAUUCUGUUAUAUGUAGUACUGUGUUUAUAAAUGAUUUUCUGUAUUAUAA